rnacentral:tRNA from 1 species
GUUUCCGUAGUGUAGCUUUAUCACGUUCGCUUUACACGCGAAAGGUCCCCGGUUCGAGCCCGGAAGGAAACA